CCUUAUCAUUAGUUGCUACGCAAGGGCACUCUAAUGAGACUGCCGGUGACAAACCGGAGGAAGGUGGGGAUGACGUCAGGUCAUCAUGGCCCUUAUGGGUAGGGCUACACACGUCAUACAAUGGCCGGUACAGAGGGCUGCCAACCCGCGAGGGGGAGCUAAUCUCAGAAAACCGGUCGUAGUCCGGAUCGCAGUCUGCAACUCGACUGCGUGAAGUCGGAAUCGCUAGUAAUCGCGGAUCAGCUUGCCGCGGUGAAUACGUUCCCGGGUCUUGUACACACCGCCCGUCACACCAUGGGAGCGGGUUCUGCCAGAAGUAGUUAGCCUAACCGCAAGGAGGGCGAUUAACACGGCAGGGUUCGUGACUGGGGUGAAGUCGUAACAAGGUAGCCGUAUCGGAAGGUGCGGCUGGAUCACCUCCU
rnacentral:rRNA from 1 species